rnacentral:rRNA from 1 species
ACUCCUACGGGAGGCAGCAGUGGGGAAUAUUGCACAAUGGGGCACCAGCUGAUGCAGCCAUGCCGCGUGUGUGAAGAAGGCCUUCGGGUUGUAAAGCACUUUCAGUCGUGAGGAAGGUAGUGUAGUUAAUAGCUGCAUUAUUUGACGUUAGCGACAGAAGAAGCACCGGCUAACUCCGUGCCAGCAGCCGCGGUAAUACGGAGGGUGCGAGCGUUAAUCGGAAUUACUGGGCGUAAAGCGCAUGCAGGUGGUUUGUUAAGUCAGAUGUGAAAGCCCGGGGCUCAACCUCGGAAUUGCAUUUGAAACUGGCAGACUAGAGUACUGUAGAGGGGUGAGAAUUGAUCAGGUGUAGCGGUGAAAUGC